GAGACCGACCAAUCUGUCAAGUCCAUUUGUCACUUGUUUAACAGCUUGAAGGUGAAAAACACGUGAGAGUUGCGAUGCGGUUUUACAUCGGAAUUCCUGAGUGCGCGCGCGGCGGAAAAUCUAUUUAUAAUGGCUUAAAAGCAAGCAAAAUAAUUGGCCAAAUUAUUGCUCUUAAAAAUUUCGAUUUUUCGCAAAGCUCUCAUUCUAAAUUCCCUUGUAGAAGCUCAUCAAUCAAUGCUUUCUAUGGUAAUGUUAAGCCUUCAAGUCGGCGGCGGAGAAAAUACCCAAUGAUUUUCCGUUUAAGUCAGCGACUUCAUAGGAACUAGUGCCCUUCUUCCUUACAAUGACGCACGGCGUGUAUUGCGGACCAAGCUUCGCGUUGAACUGAGCUCCCGCCGAUGACUGUCGGAAGCUUCGCUUAUACACACGUUGACCUACAUCGUAUGUCGCGACUGUCGUCACAUUGGCAGCGAGCAUUGCCGUCCUGCAAUCUUCUCUGGUGUUCCUAAACAACACGUCAAACUUCCUAUCCUCAUCCCAAGGUUUUGACAUACUACGGAAAUUUCGCACCAUAUCGAGAUAAUAAUCUUGGAAUUUUUCCCUCGACCCUUGUCUUCGCGCGUUUACAAGACGUUCAUAUUGGAAAUCAAUGUCCACAGGAAUCCACGCAGCGUGCGUUCUUGUUUGCUACGGGACUCGCUCAUCAUAUCUGCGCCACGAAUUUGCAGUUCGUGAUCAAGUUCACUAUCGGACAGAUGUGCUACGUCCAUUUUAUAGUAUUGUGCAAACAGUUGUUGUUGUUCCAUUUUAUAAUCACGAUAUCGGAACUUAAAUAUAUCGAAGAAAAUCAGUACUUCAAAUCAAUUAAUGUCAA